rnacentral:rRNA from 1 species
GACGAACGCUGGCGGCGUGCCUAAUACAUGCAAGUAGAACGCUGAAGUGAGGAGCUUGCUCUUCUUGGAUGAGUUGCGAACGGGUGAGUAACGCGUAGGUAACCUGCCUGGUAGCGGGGGAUAACUAUUGGAAACGAUAUCUACUACCGAAUAAUAUGGAUUAUCUCAUGAUACUCCAUUUAAAGGUGCUAAUGCAUCACUAACAGAUGGACCUGCGUUGUAUUAGCUAGUUGGUGGGGUAACGGCUCACCAAGGAGACGAAACAUAACCGACCUGAGAGGGGGAGCGGCCAAACUGGUACUGGGGGAAGGCCCAGAAUCCUAGGGGAGGGAGAAGUAGGGAAUGUUUGGGGAUGGACGGAAGUCUGAAUGAGGAACACCGCGUGAAUGCAUGAGGUUUUAGGAUCGUAAAGAUCAGUUGGAAGAGAAGAACGAGUGUGAGAUUGGAAAGUGCACAUUGUGACGGUAUCUGAAGAGAAAGGGACGGCUAACUACGUG